UACGUAGGGUGCAAGCGUUGUCCGGAAUUAUUGGGCGUAAAGAGCUCGUAGGCGGUUUGUCGCGUCUGCUGUGAAAACUGGGGGCUCAACCCCCAGCCUGCAGUGGGUACGGGCAAACUAGAGUGCGGUAGGGGAGAUUGGAAUUCCUGGUGUAGCGGUGGAAUGCGCAGAUAUCAGGAGGAACACCGGUGGCGAAGGCGGGUCUCUGGGCAAUAACUGACGCUGAGGAGCGAAAGCGUGGGGAGCGAACAGG
rnacentral:rRNA from 1 species